GGCGAGUUACGAUUUGAUGCAAGGUUAAGCAGUAAAUGUGGAGCCGUAGCGAAAGCGAGUCUGAAUAGGGCGUUUAGUAUUUGGUCGUAGACCCGAAACCAGGUGAUCUACCCUUGGUCAGGUUGAAGUUCAGGUAACACUGAAUGGAGGACCGAACCGACUUACGUUGAAAAGUGAGCGGAUGAACUGAGGGUAGCGGAGAAAUUCCAAUCGAACCUGGAGAUAGCUGGUUCUCUCCGAAAUAGCUUUAGGGCUAGCCUCAAGUGAUGAUUAUUGGAGGUAGAGCACUGUUUGGACGAGGGGCCCCUCUCGGGUUACCGAAUUCAGACAAACUCCGAAUGCCAAUUAAUUUAACUUGGGAGUCAGAACAUGGGUGAUAAGGUCCGUGUUCGAAAGGGAAACAGCCCAGACCACCAGCUAAGGUCCCAAAAUAUAUGUUAAGUGGAAAAGGAUGUGGCGUUGCCCAGACAACUAGGAUGUUGGCUUAGAAGCAGCCAUCAUUUAAAGAGUGCGUAAUAGCUCACUAGUCGAGUGACACUGCGCCGAAAAUGUACCGGGGCUAAACAUAUUACCGAAGCUGUGGAUUGUCCUUUGGACAAUGGUAGGAGAGCGUUCUAAGGGCGUUGAAGCAUGAUCGUAAGGACAUGUGGAGCGCUUAGAAGUGAGAAUGCCGGUGUGAGUAGCGAAAGACGGGUGAGAAUCCCGUCCACCGAUUGACUAAGGUUUCCAGAGGAAGGCUCGUCCGCUCUGGGUUAGUCGGGUCCUAAGCUGAGGCCGACAGGCGUAGGCGAUGGAUAACAGGUUGAUAUUCCUGUACCACCUAUAAUCGUUUUAAUCGAUGGGGGGACGCAGUAGGAUAGGCGAAGCGUGCGAUUGGAUUGCACGUCUAAGCAGUAAGGCUGAGUAUUAGGCAAAUCCGGUACUCGUUAAGGCUGAGC
rnacentral:rRNA from 1 species